rnacentral:rRNA from 1 species
AUUGAACGCUGGCGGCAGGCCUAACACAUGCAAGUCGAGCGGAUGAAGGGAGCUUGCUCCUGGAUUCAGCGGCGGACGGGUGAGUAAUGCCUAGGAAUCUGCCUGGUAGUGGGGGAUAACGUCCGGAAACGGGCGCUAAUACCGCAUACGUCCUGAGGGUGAAAGUGGGGGAUCUUCGGACCUCACGCUAUCAGAUGAGCCUAGGUCGGAUUAGCUAGUUGGUGGGGUAAAGGCCUACCAAGGCGACGAUCCGUAACUGGUCUGAGAGGAUGAUCAGUCACACUGGAACUGAGACACGGUCAAGACUCCUACGGGAGGAAGCAGUGGGGAAUAUUGGACAAUGGGCGAAAGCCUGAUCCAGCCAUGCCGCGUGUGUGAAGAAGGUCUUCGGAUUGUAAAGCACUUUAAGUUGGGAGGAAGGGCAGUAAGUUAAUACCUUGCUGGUUUGACGUUACCAACAGAAUAAGCACCGGCUAACUUCGUG